UUGUCCGAAAUAGGCGAAAUCCGUUAUAAAAAAUCCGAUAUAUGCAAUGAAUUUUUAUUGGAAAUGCAUUACAGAAAAAUUGGUUCUUUUUUAUCUGUCCGUUGUGAGUGAAUUUCCGAUAUAUCCGAGUCCGAUAUAUCCGAGGUUUACUGUCAAUAAAUCCAAGGAAGUAUACAUUUUCACUGUUAAACAGUAUUAUGAGAAGUGACUAUGAAGUGAUGCCAUUGCACUAAGCAAUAGAUACGAACAGAGCAGUCACGUGUGUGCGUUUGAAAGGUUGCAAAUCAUAGACUGUGGUUAUGUAAGCACCUUGAGCUCCUCCAGAGCGCCAGCAAUAAGAGGUUGGCUGGAUGUUUGCUCGCGGCUAAGAGUGAGCACAUCCUCCAUGGACUGCUGGACAGCCUUCCGCUGAGCCACCAGAUGAGCCGACUGCAUCACGAUCAUGAGCAUGUUGUCCACCUGGAACCACAGUGAGAGAGUGUCCACGGUUUCCAUUUGAGGAACCAGUUUGAGCAGCUCUCCGUCCCACUGAGUCCAGUCAGAAUCAGCUGUCAAAUCGCCGCUGCGGUGCUUGCUCAUCAACAGGUAGGCCUCAUCCUCAGCCAUUUCAUCUGGCUCUUUGGAGCAAUCUUUACCCGCAGCAGCAUUGAGGAGCUGCAGGAUGAGCGACCUCUGAGCCAACAGGCCGUAGGGAACAAACACCUGCAGCUCCUCCAAGCCAGGAAUGUGAACCUGGGAGUGGAGAGAAUCUUGCUUUUACUUCCCGACGCGACAGGAAGAUGAGAAGUGUAAAAUGUGAACGGAAACACACCUUGACAUAGCUCCUUUUCUUCAGAGCCUCUAAGAGCGACGCCACCCCGUUAGUAAUGCUGAAAUCUGCAGCAACCUCCAAGUCCUGCAGCAAAAGGAAGCAAGCAGGAAGUCAGAACACACAGAUUGUGCACAGUCACUGUUGUGGCAGCUUUAUGGCUUUAAAGCAACACUGCGGACUCUCACCUUGCGAAGCAUUUUGGCAAAGCCCAGAGCCUUGGAUGCACGCUCCCUGGCCUCGUGAAACAGCUCUUUAAGUGACCGACUGGUUUCAAUCACUGACCGCCUUGAAGGAUCACAAAGAAUGAGAUAGUUGGAACUAAAACAAGCAGAAACAUUGACCAGCAACAUCAAAACUGCCAGCACAAUCAGAUGAUUUCAUUUAAAGACUGUCAGGGACAAUGUUUAUUAUUGUUGUAGUUUGCAGUGGCAUCGCACUGUACUGCAUCAUAUUGACAGCUGUGCCUUGCACAUAAAUUAGGUUAUCAAGUUAUUAGAAACAGCUCUCAGAUAUAACACAGGACAACCUUUGUCUUAUAUAUGUAUUAGGGUGCAUCAAAUUUGAAUGGGAAAUUUUUAAUUCAUAAUAUCAAUUUGGCUGGCAUCCAUUUUUUCUAAUUAACAUAAAAAUGUCUUUUGCAAAGUUUUGAGGAAAUCCAUUGAGAUUUAGGGGUGCCACCUCACACAUAAACUUUUGUAAAAUUUCGGAAAAUGUGCAAUUGCCAAAAAGUUGACCUGUAAAUGUUGAGUACAAUGAACUUCUAUACAGCAUCAUUUUCUAUAGGGUCACCAAAGGGGGCCCAGACCAAAGACCAAGCUGAGACUGCUAGUCUGAAAGGAACUAGUUGUUGAGGGCAGCAUCUUAGGAGAGCUGGUGGGUUGUGCUGCACAGUGCCUAAAAUAAUAACAUUAUGUAUAUAAUGUUAUACCUAUAAAUACCUAUAAAUAUGACUACAAAUCAUUCAAAUUACAAAGACAAAACCGCAAAUUUGCUAGUAAUAUGUGAUAGGAGUAUAAAUACCAACAAAAACAUAAAGAUCACCUCAGAUCUCCAUGGCGACCAUUGAACUGUUCACCACUUUAUUCCACAAAAACAGAUGUAUGGUGGCACCCCUAAUUAAUCAUUUAUUGGAAAAAUAUUUUGUAUGUGUUGUUUCGACAUAUAUUGGAACACUUUUAGUACCCAGACAUAUCAAAAUUCAUACACAAAAAUGUGUAUAUGUAUAUAUGUAAUCUUCUGGCCAGUCAGUGUAAUUCCCCUUUACCUGAUUUCAUCUGAAGCGGUGCUGUCGUCGGCACUUUCCCAGAAUUCAUUACCACUCUUUUGUAGCCCGGCAUCAAGGAACUCUCCGGUGGAUUUGAGCAGCAUCCCAGCAAUGUCACUGCAAAAGAAACCAAAAAAAAAAAAAAGACUCUUGAGCACCAUAUGAAUGAUUUAAAGACUUUAAAUGGCUGCAACCGCAAGCACGCUAACCAGAAAAGCUUCCCAGACUGGGCUUCCCCUCCACGGAUGUAGGGGGUGAUGUCCUUGGUGAAGUGCCACUCCUCCUCGAGCAGGUUCUUUAGGCUGUGAGAGGCCUGAGGCAGCUGUUGCAACAUCUGGAUCCAGCUGUGCAUGUAGUCAAAGUAAACCUGAAAUGCGUACACGCAUGCAUGAAUACAUACAUACGGCGUUAGAACACCAACAAUAUUGCUUUCAUUCUCAAAGCUCUCGUGUUCAUGAUGCUAAACUGCGAGUAGUGACGCCUCUUACCACAAGCAUCUUGUGCAGAUCCUCCUCAAACUCGUCAAUGUUGGCGUUGGUCUGCAGGCCCUGAGCAUCUGUGACAACGCCGCGCAGCAUGAACUGAUAGUACUGCUUCAUAAGUAGGCCACCUUUGAGAACCUCCUUACACUCACGCACCAACUGCAGGGCGCAUAUGGAACACAGACACCAAGAUGUUAACAUGAAUGAGAUUGCACUCAUAUAAAUAAAUGGCAAGACUGCGUUUUUGGUCUUGUUGGCACUAGAUGUCCACAGCAUAUGGAUACAAAUUAUGGAAAAAGGAAUGUACUUCCUCUCAUCCCUGUUUGCUUGCCUGUUUGAUACUCAGUAGUGAAGGUUCUCCAGCAGGUCUCUGCUCCAGUCGCAGCUUGAGGCACUCAUGGAUGACAUUGAGGAGAACUCUGCAAAGCACAAGGAACGCCGGUCGGAAAGACGGGAGAUCCAUGUCAAGCAAAUCCUCCCAGGACACUUGGUCUGCCCCGAGUUCUGGGUCGGCCGAACCGCUGCAUGAACCCUGGCGCGACAGCUCUGGCAGGUAGUCAUUAUACAGCAUCGGGUCUGGGAAAUCUGCAAACUGCAAGGAGAAGGUAGAUACGUUGAAGCUCAGGUAGGUUAUUAUUACUUCUGCCAAGCUUGAAAACACCAGAAUGAGAGUUUUACAAAAGCGAUGGGCAGGAAACUUUGUAGAGCGCACAUGUGAAUAGACCUGUUGAGAAUUUAUUUGACUUUUCGUGGUUACAGUCUCCUUUAGGCCCAUGUAGCUAUUAAUAGGAACGGAGUGGAACAAUUUGGCCUUGUAAGGGAAUCAGCAGGAAUGUUUGAGCCUUGACGGAGGUCUGUGCUCAAUUGGUUACUGUUCUAGCAUCCUAGAACAGGGGUUUGUCUGGUUGACACAAAAGCGCCAUAAUCAUUCGUUCAUUCAUUUUCUACCGCUUUUUCCUUACAAGUGUCGCUGGAGCCUAUCCCAGCUGUCUUGGGGCGAGAGGUGGGGUAAACCUGGACUGGUGGCCAGCCAAUCACAGUGCACAUAUAGACAAACAACCAUUCACACUCACAUUCAUACCUAUGGACAAUUUGGAGUCGCCAAUUAACCUAGCAUGUUUUUGGAAUGUGGGAGGAAACCGGAGUACCCGGAGAAAACUCCACACAGAGAUGGACAAGGGUGGAAUUGAACCCUGGUCUCCUAGCUGUGAGGUCUGCGCGCUAACCACUCGACCGCCGUGCCGCCCGCGACAUAAUCAAAUACACAAAAUUGUCUAACCAUUUUUUUCCAUCACUUGUCCUUCAUUUUCCGACUCACAGUGCAAACACCAAUAAAGGUGUACAUUCGGGUUCUGAUCAACGUUAGAACUGUAUGUUUUUAUGGACUCCAUCGAACAGGUCUGGUACAACAACAGAUCCAUCACUUUUGUGUUGCACAACACUUAAAAGUAAGUUUUGACCAAGGCAGGAACUACAAGAAUAGAAUAAGCCUUUGUGAGUCUUGCAAUUGGGAAAUUCAGCUCAAUCUCUUCACAGCGUCUCAAAUUGCAAUAUUCCAUUCCAUAAAUCAGUGGUAGAUAACCGACUGGCCACAGUAAAAACUAAAUGUUUCAAAAUGCACUUUUCCAUUUUACGCUACUACUCGAUGUGUAACUGCUGUUGUUGUAAAAGUAAAAUUUAUUUCAAAACAAGAAUGAACUAUCCCAAAUAUUGAAAAAAGUACCGUCUCACCUCCAGUGCAGGCGUGUGGCAGAGCAGGGCUGCCCUGGACCUCUGUAGGGAGCGGUCCAUCAGUUUGUGCAGUCUGAGGAUCAGUUUGCGCAGUCCCAUCUGUUUCAGUGCUUUAUCCACAAAGGGUCUGUAGAUGGCUGUGGGGCAGAACAAGCCCCCCCCUCCCUGUGCUUCUGUACUUGCCGACCCUGCAGUGGGGAGAAACUCUUCCUCCGACAACAAUCUGGCAAAUUUGGGGGUCAGGGUGGGAGACAGCUCUCCCUCUGUUAGGAUACAUGCCGCUGUCUCAUCCUCGUCUUCCUCCUCUGCAACCCUGUCCUCGCCGUCGCUUUCGGCUGUGAAAGUGGCGGUUGAGUUGUUCUCCUCAUCCUCCUCGUUCUCGUCUUCCUCGUUGCCUCGGGAACAGCGGGGGGAAGGGAUCUCAAAGACGGGCCAGCCGAUGCGAGAUAGGUCACAGAGUCCCAGGACGGUGGCCAUGACGCGCAGCUUUUGGUUGAGGUCCUGAGUGAUGUUGAGCCACAAACAGAGCGCCUGCACUCUGCCCUGGAAGUCCCGCGCUGCGUACUUCUCGUAGUCCCUUUGCAGGGCCUGCAAUGAGGGGUACAGCGCUUCCACAUACUCCAGCAGCUCCAUGACCUGCUUGACCUGUUCAAAGGCCAAGCGCUGCCUCUGGAGAUGCUCUUUGCAGUCGGCGCCUGAACCCAGGGGCUCUGCAGCAUUCAUCCCAGUGGAGGGGCACGCACUAAAGCCCCAGGGAUCAAUUCCACAGUGGUUGGUUUCGGCUGCAGCCGGCUCACGUUUGUCUUUGCAGUCUAGAUUUGGGACAGGCCGAAUAGUCUGGCAGUCCACGUGAAUGGUUUGGGACACUGAACACGGAGCCUGCCUGAGGCUGUCGUACUUCACCUUGAAAUGCAGCACCUCAUUGAUGAGGUCGGGGAUGGCCUGGCGAGCCGUGAAGAGGAAGAAAUCCUGGUCGCUGAUGGAGCGGCGUGCAUGCCAGGCCUGCAGCUCCAGCCAGAUGACUUCGUUAUUGUGGCCCAUGAAGGCCAUGUUCUCCAGGCCUCGCUGCUCCUUCUCCUUGCGCUUGGAGGACAUGGACGUGAGCUUGAGUAGCAGCCGCAGGGUCUCAAAGAACUUAAGACGGUCUGCCGGGCAGUCCGUCCUGGAGGUCUGGCGGUGCGUCCGGGCCAUGUGGGGCAUGGACACAGGGAGUUUGCAACUGCUGCAGCCCAAGCUCAGGUAGUGCUUCCUGGGGUCCAUGUUGAGGGCGCCAAGGGGGCCUGAUUUGGACAGCGGGUCCAGCAUGAAGGUCUCAAAGGUCUUUUUGUUGUCUCUCUCUGUAGAACGAAGGGUGGCCCUCUGCUUCUUGUCCUGCUUGUAGCUGUGCUCCUCGGUCUUCUCUGAUGGCUGGGGGCUCUCUUUCAGGGCAGAUGAGCUGAGGUCCGCUGAAACGCACAGAAAUAUUGGCUCAGUACAGCGAGAAAGACCGUACAACAAAACACGAUUGUUGUUUGUGAUGAAUAUGUCGUUUUUCUCACGCUUGCAGGGAGAACGUCCACCACUCCUUGAUUGGCUGCUUUUCUGGUGAUGUUUGCCAGACAUACGUUUCAUCUGACGGGGCGUGUAAGGCGGUGAUGUCGCAUACAGAGGUUCCUCUUCCUCGCUGGGCGAAUCCCAGGAUUCCUCCGUCUGAGAGUUCUGCCAGGAUUCAUUUUCCCGUGGGUUGCCCUGCCUGGUAACAUUUAUGCUGUCAUUUAGAGGCAAGAGAUAGUCAAACUAUUCACAAUAGGCGAUUCAUGCUGACAUUUUUAUAAUAAGCAGAGUUGCCUGAAGGCCGAAAUUAACAACAAAGACGCUUUUUGGCUUUCUUUAAAAAACGUGAUUUCCGCAAUGUCAAACCAGGAAAACCACAGAAACAUGUGCAAGGUCACAAAGUGCUGGAAUGUUUGCAGCCAUACCGGAGUGCAAAGCAAAUCUCUUGCAAUGCCACAUUUGCAAAAAGCCGAGCUGCAAUGAAUGUGCAGCGCUCCCCACAGCCGGCUGACGAUGGACUUGUGGUGUCUCCUAUGGAGCCUGACUGGCUGUCUCCUGCAGCACAGCAGCACAGCAGCCAUGUAUGUGCAUGACCACAGACCUUCAGAGCCAGGGCGAGCAUUUCAUACAGCGCCUAACUUUUUUUACACUGGUAUGACAGUUAAGAAUGCCAACACUUCCACUAUUUCCUAUUGGGUAAAAAUAUAUCAAAUCUGAUCUAGCAUCUGUGAAGACUGUGUUAGCGCUUCCUUGGUCCACUGUAAUGUACCGAGUCGUAUAUCAAGCACGAGUUAACCAUUGUGGAAGCUUUGUCAACUGAGAUGGGUUUAAGCGCAUGCAUACGUUAAAGAUGCUUGUUUUCAUGUAAUUAAGGUAUCAAUACUCACCUGUCAAAUGUUCAGACAUAGAGCUAGCAUGACAACAUACUUG